UUUCCGUAGGUGAACCUGCGGAAGGAUCAUUAUUGUAUAACCGAGGUGCGAGGGCUGUCGAUGACCCGAAAGGUCGUGCACGCCCGAGUGCCCUCACACACAUCCAUCUCACCCCUAUGUGCACCACCGCGUGGGUCCCCCUUUGGCUUGUUCGGAGGGGGGCUUACGUUUUCACACAAACUUUGUAUGCAGUGUAGAAUGUAUUUUUUGUUUUUGCGAUCACGCAAUCAAUACAACUCUCAACAACGGAUCUCUUGGCUCUC
rnacentral:misc_RNA from 1 species